rnacentral:rRNA from 1 species
GUUGUCCGGAAUUAUUGGGCGUAAAGAGCUCGUAGGCGGUGUGUCACGUCGGCCGUGAAAACCUGCAGCUUAACUGUGGGCGUGCGGUCGAUACGGGCAUCACUGGAGUUCGGCAGGGGAGACUGGAAUUCCUGGUGUAGCGGUGAAAUGCGCAGAUAUCGGGAGGAACACCAGUGGCGAAGGCGACUACCUGGCCUGUUCUUGACGCUGAGGCGCGAAAGCUAGGGGAGCAAACGGG